AGACAUUCUGGCUGUUCUCCUGUACAUUUCCUGCAAAGACCUAAUGAGAUAUGAUUACUCCAUCCUACAGCUUUCACAAUCAACAGUGUCGACAUGAAGAGCCUGCCGGACUGGACGGUGCAAAAUGGGAAGAACCUGACCCUGCAGUGCUUCGCGGAUGUCAGCACCACCUCUCACGUCAAGCCUCAGCACCAGAUGCUGUUCUAUAAGGAUGACGUGCUGUUUUACAACAUCUCCUCCAUGAAGAGCACAGAGAGUUAUUUUAUUCCUGAAGUCCGGAUCUAUGACUCAGGGACAUAUAAAUGUACUGUGAUUGUGAACAACAAAGAGAAAACCACAGCAGAGUACCAGGUGUUGGUGGAAGGAGUGCCCAGUCCCAGGGUGACACUGGACAAGAAAGAGGCCAUCCAAGGCGGGGUCGUGAGGGUCAACUGUUCUGUCCCAGAGGAAAAGGCCCCAAUACACUUCACAAUUGAAAAACUUGAACUAAAUGAAAAAAUGGUCAAGCUAAAAAGAGAGAAGAAUUCUCGAGA
rnacentral:sRNA from 1 species